CUGUGUCCCUUUUUUCUCCUUUCCACUCCUUCAUUUAUAUCUAUAUAUUCGCUUCGCGCCGCGUACACACACAGAUCUGCGAGAAAAAAGAAAGAGGGCUCCAGGCGCCGCCCCUACAAAAAGUGUUUUU
ensembl:ncRNA C15B12.14 ncRNA